rnacentral:rRNA from 1 species
AUGGCGGAACCGCUGCCGCCGCCGCUCCCCCAGCGCAUGCCCCUCCUCCCUCUCCCGCUCCCUCAGGCUAACUACUCGUCGAAGUUUCCGCCGCUCCCCCAGCCUUUGCCGACGCGGAAGGUUCCGCUGCUUCUCGAGCCCCAGCCAAUGGAGGCAUCGCCGACGGCACCGCUCCCCCAGCCCCGGCCUCCACCGCCUCCCGCCGCGGCCCUGCUUCCCUCCCUCCCGUCCUCCGCUGCUUCAACUGCCUUAGCCCAACUAGCAGCGCCGACCUCUCCCCGCGACCAUGUCACGCAGAACCCUAGAAUCGGGGAUUCCGGCGAUAUGGAGAGCGGGUCAGGGACGUCCACGGUCGAGGCCCUCGAAGAGAUCACCCCGUACGUGGGCACACUCGCUGCAGCUCCUCUGCCCCAAAUUUCCAAGCUCCAUGAGGAGGACGGCGUGGCUGACGAAUGCGGCUCCACCUCUCUCUCUGAUAUUUGUGCUAGGAUGAUCCAAUCAUGUACUUACACAGUAGAGGUGAAGAUUUGUGGCGGUGGAAUAGAAAUCUGUGGGGAUUCUACAUUUACUUGGGAUGUUGUUGAGGGUAGCAGCUCAAGCUUGAAGGAUCUAGUGGCUUCCAUUGCUGGAACUUUUCCACUAUUUUCAGUGUAG